rnacentral:rRNA from 1 species
UACAGAGGUCUCAAGCGUUGUUCGGAUUCAUUGGGCGUAAAGGGUGCGUAGGCGGCGCGGUAAGUCGGGUGUGAAAUUUCGAGGCUUAACUUCGAAACUGCAUUCGAUACUGCCGUGCUUGAGGACUGGAGAGGAGACUGGAAUUCCCAGUGUAGCGGUGAAAUGCGUAGAUAUUGGGAGGAACACCAGUGGCGAAGGCGGCUCACUGGACUGGUACUGACGCUGAUGCGCGAAAGCGUGGGGAGCAAACAGG